UACGUAGGGUGCGAGCGUUGCCCGGAUUUAUUGGGCGUAAAGGGCGCGUAGGCGGCUCGGCACGUCCGUUGUGAAAUCGCCCGGCUCAACUGGGCGGGGUCAGCGGAUACGGUCGAGCUUGAGCAAGCUAGGGGGCAAUGGAAUUCCCGGUGUAGUGGUGGAAUGCGUAGAUAUCGGGAGGAACACCAGUGGCGAAGGCGGUUCUCUGGGCAUUACCUGACGCUGAGGAGCGAAAGUGUGGGGAGCGAACAGG
rnacentral:rRNA from 1 species